rnacentral:ncRNA from 1 species
CCGGGUCAAGGCAGACACCCGGUGACCAGGACAUCUCGUCCCAAGCGCUGC